GACGAACGCUGGCGGCGUGCCUAAUACAUGCAAGUCGAACGCAUUUUCCUUCAACGUAGCUUGCUACACCGAAAGAAAGUGAGUGGCGAACGGGUGAGGAACACGUGGGUAACCUGCCCAUCAGCGGGGGAUAACACGUGGAAACAGGUGCUAAUACCGCAUAAUUCCAUUUACCGCAGGGUAGAUGGAUGAAAGGCGCUUUUGCGUCACUGAUGGAUGGCCCCGCGGUGCAUUAGCUAGUGGGUGGGGUAACGGCCUACCAAGGCUGCGAUGCAUAGGCGACCUGCGAGGGUGCUCGGCCACGCUGGGACUGAGACACGGCCCAGACUCCUGCGGGAGGCAGCCGUAGGGAAUCUUCGGCAGUGGACGCAAGUCUGACCGUGCGACGCCGCGUGAGUGAAGAAGGUUUUCGGAUUGUAAAACUCUGUUGUUAGAUAGGAACAAGGAUGAGAGUGGAAAGUUCAUCCCUUGACGGUAUCUAACCAGAAAGCCACGGCUAACUCCGUG
rnacentral:rRNA from 1 species